GGAAAAUUACAAGAAAUAAAAAGAGAUACUGAGGCCUCUUGGCUGCCACAAGUUCACAACAAACUUCCUUCCGGAAAAAUAAUCCAUUUUCUUUUCUUUACUCUGAUGGAAAAUAAGCCUUGUCUCGCAGCCCAAACAAGGCCCCACCCCCAGCUCCAACCCAUUCUCGAACACCAUGAUCUCCCCUUCACGCUCCCUCAGUCUCUCUCCUCCCCAUUCAUCUUCUCUGAAAUCCAGGACCGCCCAACAGAGCAACCCUAUUCUACACGUGGAGCUCCGACUGACUACGGAUGGAAACCGGGUAAUCUCCACCGCUCCAAAACAGCUCCAGCCAUGGUCGUGAUGCGAGACUUGAAACCAGAAUCAACCCAAGAUCNNGCAAUCUGACUCCAGCUCCAUUAUCAGGCAAUCCAUUUUCCUGUUGUCUAUGUUUCUACUUCUCGGC
rnacentral:misc_RNA from 1 species